rnacentral:RNase_P_RNA from 2 species
CGAGUUGGCCGGGCGGCCGCGGGCCUCGGGGCGACCCGGGGUUCGAGGAAAGUCCGGACUUCACAGAGCAGGGUGAUUGCUAACGGCAAUCCGGGGCAACCCGCGGGACAGUGCCACAGAAAGCAGACCGCCGCCCGCAUGGGCGGUAAGGGUGAAACGGUGCGGUAAGAGCGCACCAGCAUCCCGGGUGACCGGGAUGGCUAGGCAAACCCCACCCGGAGCAAGGCCAAGAAGGCCGCAACCUGGUUGCGGCCGCGCAAGCGUUCGAGGGUUGCUCGCCCGAGCUUGCGGGUAGGCCGCUUGAGGCACCCGGCGACGGCGUGUCCAGAUGGAUGGUCGCCUACCGGCCCUCCGCCGAGGAGGGCCGGUACAGAAUCCGGCUUACAGGCCAGCUCGUCCG